rnacentral:rRNA from 1 species
CACGUAGGGGGCAAGCGUUGUCCGGAUUUAUUGGGCGUAAAGAGCUCGUAGGCGGUUCGGUAAGUCGGGUGUGAAACCUCCAGGCUCAACCUGGAGACGCCACCCGAUACUGCUGUGACUCGAGUCCGGUAGGGGAGCGUGGAAUUCCUGGUGUAGCGGUGAAAUGCGCAGAUAUCAGGAGGAACACCAGCGGCGAAGGCGGCGCUCUGGGCCGGUACUGACACUGAGGAGCGAAAGCGUGGGUAGCAAACAGG